ensembl:lncRNA
CGCAGAGGCUUCGGAUGAUGGACAUCAGUUGCCAGCCAUGAUUGGCAUGAAGUGUCAGAAUAAAUGGAGUUGGGACCAGGGAGUGCAGGUCAGAAAGGUUUGGCCCUUUCAUGGGAUGAUAGAUUGAUUUGAUGACAUAACAUUGGAUAUAAGGAAAACCCAUUGUUUUCAGUAUCUAACUUGGAGACUUUAUUCGGCAAAUAUGGUAUUUUUCAAGUAAAUGAUACUCUGAUAACAAUAUAGAUGGCCAUUAAUCUAGAUUUUUAUGGUGGAUAUUGAAAAUUGUUACAUGACAAUCUGUCGAUAUUUUUUGUGUUUUACUUUUUCUCCAUUUGUAAAGAAGUAUGCGUAUAGUAACAUAUACAAGUUUAAGCAGGUGCAACUCAAUGAACUUUUCAUAUAUCUGUACCCCUGUACGCAUUCCUCAUGUCAAGACCUAGAACUUUUCCAGUAGGCUUCUCUUACCUGUUGCUGGAUAGCCCCAGUAACCCCGCUGCUGACCUCUGUCACCAGAGGUUCCUUCUGCUUGUUGGGGUAAGUGUGUGUUCCUUGGUGCCAGGCCUCUCUCACUCAGCGUUACAUCUGUAAGUUUCAUCCAUAUUCUGUGUAGCAGUAGUCUGGUUUGUUGCUUCCUAUGUGUCUUUAUCAUAUGUAUGUUCUUAAUAUUUAUCUCGACUUCUGUGAAUGGAUAUUUAAAUUAUUUCCUGUUUGUAACCAUUAUGAGUUACACUUCUAAGAACACUCUUUUUAGGAGGCUUUCUCAGCAGUGUAGACUUAGGAGUGGAAUUGCUAGUCCUGGACACUGUAUGUUCAGCUUUGGUAGAUGCUGCUCAGCGGUUUUCCAAAGUGGUAGCACCGAUUUCCACUCUCACCGGCCGGUUGCUGCACAUCCUCAAUGGAGAUUUAUAGUUUGUAGAGGAAAAGUUCAUGCAAAGUUCAGGUCUUCACAGAAUCCAGCAAAGGGCUACCCGAUAACAUGCUUUACCGUAGAAAAAUUCUCACUGUUGUCACAUUAGUUCAAUGAGAUUUUAAUGAUGGGAAUCAUUAAGAAUCAAGUGGGUUAUUUUUCUUCAGAUGCACGUAAUGACUGAGAAUAAUUCGAGUUGCUUAUCUUGUUCUGUUUAGUCAGUACGGACAUUUUCAUUCUGGGUUUUUUUUUUUUCAGGUUUAUUUAUUUAUUUAUUUAUUAUUACUCAAUGAGUUUAUUACACUUGUAGUUGUGCAAUGAUCAUCACAAUCCAAUUUUAUAGGAUUUCCAUCCCACAACCCCAGCGCAUCCGCCGACCCCUGAACUGUCUCCUUUGGAAACCAUAAGUUUUUCAAAGUCUGUGCGUCAGUAUCUGUUGUGCAAAGAAGUUCAUUGUGUCCUUUUUUCAGAUUCCACAUGAGUACUGACAUUUUCAUUCUUAAAGUAUGUUUGUGUCCUCAUCACAUUAAACGUAAAAACCUUUAAGGUAAUUAUUGAUUGCAUCUCUAGAAGUUGUAGGUUUAAUACGUCUACUGGCUGGUGGCAAGAGGAGUUUCAGUCCAGUUCCUGUUCAGAGCUGAGCCCGUACUGUGGCCUCUGAACUUUUUGGAGGAGGCUGAGCCAGCUGUUAAGGAACUGUUAAAAAGCACAGUGUGUGUGGUUAGGCAGGCGGUUUGGAGACAGAACUUGAGCUUCUAGUGCCUGUAAUUCCUCUAGCUGGCCUUUACUGCCACCUGCAGGCUGUGGGGGUACAAACACUGGUGUUUGAUAAGUAACUGCUGUGCCACUGUGCUUCUCAAACAUGAGGGCAUCAGUCACUGGGGAGCUGGGUACCAUCCCCAAAGUGUCUGAUUUUGUACAUCUGGAGUGGGGGCUGAGAAUGUACGUUUCUAGCAAGUUCCCCAGUGAUGCUGAUGCUGCUGGUCGGAGGACACCCCUAGGAACCACUGCAGUAGCACCAGCCCUUGGGAGCUAGGAACGGCCAGCCUCAGGCUUCGCUGUCUUUAUGGUGGACCAGAAUUACCAAUGGCAGGGCAGUGCAUGUCGGCACAGGGUACGAGGCCCAUCUCCACACACAUAUUUGUUGUUCUUUCCAGCAGGUGGGAAUUUGGCCCCAGUAAGUUGUACAUUUGAGAGGAGGAGACUCUACCCUGUCAUGGGGCUGUGUUAUAUCCUGAAGGACAUGGUAAAGCAUUUAUUCAUUAGUUAGGUCUCUUUUCUGCUGGUUUUCAGUUUGUCUGGAGAAGUCCAAUAUCCCAGAAAAACAGAAGCUAAAAGAUGAGAGAGAUACUUGUAAGGUACUUAGACAUGGGGCCGUGAUUUUCGGAGCCCAGUUGAGACAGUACUGCCUCGCAUUUCAGCAGGGUAAGCACUUUCUUGCAGUUUGGGAUGGUCUUAAAUGAUUUUUCAGCAGAGCCUGGAACACUAGCCUAUGUGCAGUUUUAGUUACCAUAAGAGACCAUGAACAUGUCUACUUUUUGGAAUAAGAGAGAAGUUUCCAUUCCCUUUGCUGCUUUAAAAGUAAAUGUUGAAGUCAUAUUUUUAAUAUUUUUUCUCUACUCCAAGUUUUGUACGUUUGUCACUUCUACUAAGUUGGAGUGGAUGCCCGUGUGUGGACAGGCCAGCCGGGAACACGGGAGAGCGGAUAUGGGAUAUGUUGACUGCUGUGGCCGCCGAACGCCCUCACUUAGCCAUUGCCAAGGAAGGUUAAAACAUUGGGAAACCCUAACAUUAUGUGAGGGNNNNNNNNNNNNNNNNNNNNNNNNNNGAAAUGAUCUACCACAUAGACUGAAUCAGCCACCUGAUUAAAAAGCCCCCAGGUCAGGAAGUUCCCAUCGCGGAUCAGCAUAACAACUUGACUAGCGUCCAUGAGGACUCAGGUUUGAUCCCUGGCCUUGCUCAUGGAUUAAGGAUCUGGCAUUGCCCUGAGCUGUGGUGCAGGUCGCAGACAUGGCUUGGAUCUGGCGUGGCUGUGUAGGCUGGCAGCUGCAGCUCCUAUUCGACCCCUAGCCUGGGAACCUCCACAUGCCACAGGUGCGGCCCUAAAAAGAAAGAAGAAGAAAAAAAAGCCUCCAGGUCGAACUGGACUUUAGAUCACAUCUUCAACCAUAGACAAGUUUGACGAUAAAGUUACUCCCUUUUGUUUUAUGAAAAUAAACAUUUAAAAGUGUUUUAGGGAGAGUGUAUUUCUUACUUUUUCUCCCACAGACAUCAUGAGUAAUGCCAGGUUUGGGGGGUAGAGGGUGGGUUACUCCCUGGGAGAUAAUAAUUCCAGGCCUGCCUGCCUCAGACAUUCCAAAUACAGCAAGGACCCUUUCACGGGAGGGACCACCAUCAUCACAAAUUGUGUCAAAUUUGUCUCGCCACAGGGAACGCAGUAGAUCUGAAAGCAUUGUAUGCCUGCAGGCGUUAGAACUGUAUUCUAAUUAAAGCAUUAAAAAAGAAAUCAAAUUUAAAAGGAAAAAUUAAUUUUCCUGUUGAAUGAUGGAGAAAAUUUGUAUUAAUCUUAUUUCUGAUUAGAGACUUGUAGCUUUUUAAUAAGCCCACCAAAAGCACCUCUUGUUUGAAAGAAAAGUAAAUGUUUUAAAUAUAUAGCAGAGGAAGAAUUCCUAUAGACCCAAAUGACUUUUCAGUAACCUUAAAAUAAGCAAAACCGAGAGCCUGUGGUCAUCUCGGAAGAAGAACACAAGUGGGUUUUUCGGUUCUUUGUCAGCACUCCUUGUCGGUAGGUAUGUUCCUGUUUAGAAAUGUAUUCAUGGGCCGAGAGCUUCCCUACAUUCAGAAGAGCUUUUUCCCCCCGGGAGGCACCCGUGCAGACCUUAGGCAGCGAUAGGGAAUUCAAGUGCUGACUUGAGACAGCCUCUGAAUAGUGACGCUCAGCUUCUAGGAAGAUUUGUCAUUUACUGACUGCUCUCCUGCAGGCCGGCAGCAGUGAGGGAGUGUCUGAGUUUCUAGCACGGUGUUUAACACUUUGUGCACAGAUCCUGAAUCCGGCUUUGUCUUCUGAAACGUUUUAGGCAAGAACCCGACUGACCUUGCUCAGAGGGCCGCUCACUCAGCCUGCUCCCCUCACAAUGUGAGCGUGUUUUCAGGCGGAUCGACAGGACCAGCCGCCAGUUGGCAUGAUCAGACUAUUUCCGGAGCCUGAUCUUGCCCUGCUAAUAAUGGUUCCCAAAGACCCCAAACAUUUAUAAGUCAGAAUUCAUGACUCCCACAUAUUUAUCCUCCAGGCAGAGAAAAAUCAUCAAAGGAAAGUAAAAAAUGUUCAUGAUUUUUUUUUUCACUUGAAUGACAGAAUUGGGGCUGCGUGGGUUGCCCCCAUGUCCUCUGAGCUUUGACCAUCAUGUUAAGAACCAACCAGCUCAUCAGUGUUCUCGAAAGCCUGUCUGUAAUAAAACACACCUAAACGAGACUUAGGCUGUUGACAAGCUCCUUGCGUCCUCCGCGGCCUCAUCUCUGCAGUGGGGAGAACAGGACGAGUGUCAGAGGCUUGUUGUCCACUGGUCAUUGGUUGGAGUUACACCUGAGCUCUCCCCUGCACCCCGAGCUCCUAAACAUCCCCGAAGCCUUUGCCCCCCGCCCCCACUUCCAUCCAGACUCUACCCUUUAUUCAAGGCUUCAUUCAGCUUUAGUUUCCAUGAAGCGAAGCCAUUUGUAUGUAUGAAUUUCAUUGUUCUUUUUCUCUUUCUGCCUUUAUUUCACUGUGUAUUCUUACUGCCUGCUUACUGGAACACUCACUAGAACACUUAGGGAUGCUUCUCUUUCUUUGAAUGCCCGUGACUUUGUGUCUGCCCCAACCCCUGCCCGCUCCUCCGUGUUCUUCGCUUGGCAAAUGUCGUCUUUCCUUUAUCCUCAGUGUGGCUGUCACCUCCUCCAGGAAGCCUUCCCCUGGAGCCUCUCCCCCUUUUAGUGUGCAAGUCGGUGGUACCUCUUUGACCACCUUCACAUUUCAUCGUGGUUAUUCACUGUCAUCUUUGUAUGAAUCUGUAUUGAAUGCCUAGGACAUGCCCGUAGCUGGGGAGAGUCCAGGCACGUUAGCUUCUUAGCGGUGGGCUCUUUGGCCUUAAGCUUCAGAGUUCAUCCUUGCCUGGGGCCUCUGACAGGACACAGGACUUUCAGCCUUUUUGUUUAGAGGUCCUUUAUAUUUACUUUUAAGGUCGCCUUUAAAAGUGAUUUUCUGUUCUGGUAUGACUGCUACACGGGAGUGGGUUUUCUGGUGAAAGGGUCUGGUCUGCUCUGAGCCUGUUUGUUACCUGCCUUGAAACAGCUAGAAUCCACGCUGGCUGAGAUCUUUCCAGACAGAGCUGAUUUCCCUGUGAGGGCCUGAAGUCCCAACAUUUGGCUCUCUGCCAUGAUCAAUUGUUCUUUUAAUCUCAGUUUUGACCGUUUAACUCUUAAAUUACACAUUUUGGGCCCAGAGAUUUUUUUUCUCAAAAAAAAUUUUUGGGCUACACCUGCAGUAUUUGGAAGUUCCCAGGCCAGGGAUCAAACCCAAGCCACAGCGGUUACCUCAGCCAUAGCAGAGACAAAACCAGAUCCUUAACCAGGGAAUUCUAAUAAUUUUUUCAUUAGAUCAGUAGUACGUACCCAGUGUAGAAAAAUAUACAGAAGGACUUGUCCAUCAUCCUGCCACCCAAAAAUAACAAUUUUGGUAGUAUUUUCCCAGUUUCUUUAUGUUCUGUAUAUCAUAAAAUGAAUUCCUGUGUUCUUAAGUGUUUUUCUCAUUUUUCUAUUUCUGCCUUUCUUUCACUGUUUAUUCUUAUUUCUUAUUUGGUGGCACACUAAGUAAAACACUCAGGGAUAUUGAGAUCACUCAAGAGUACUAUCUGUUUUCUGGGAGUUUCCGUUGUGGCACAGUGGUUAAUGAAUCCGACUAAGAACCAUGAAGUUGCGAGUUCAAUCCCUGGCCUUGCUCAGUGGGUUAAGGAUCCGGCGUUGCCGUGAGCUGUGGUGUAGGUUGCAGACGCGGCUCGGAUCCCAUGUUGCUGUGGCUCUGGCGUAGGCCUGUGGCUACAGCCAGUGGCUGCAGUUCUGAUUAGACCUCUAGCCUGGGAAUCUCCAUAUGCCACGGGAGCGGCCCAAGAAAUGGCAAAAAAAAAAAAAAAA